UAUAACAGCCGACAAGCCGUCGCUGGAAAAUCCGCGGACGCGGUAAUUGUUUCCGAAAAACGCACUUACAUCCAUCGUCGUCGUCGUGAAAGCUGCACGUAUUCUAUAAUUCAAUUUCGAGUGACGUCGGUCGGAAGAACGGAAAUAUAAUAAUUUCGCGUAACAACCGUAAAACGGAUUAAAUUGGAUAUUAUAUACUAUACCUUUAUGCGUGUGUAACGCGCAAAACGGGACAUUUUUCGCCGUACAUCGACGACGGUGUCAAACUGAAAAGGGUUCGGAUGCG